UUUUGGCGAAUAAGGACUGGGUAAGACGAGUGCCAGCCGCCGCGGUAAUCCUCGCGGUCCAAGUCGCAGCCACUUUUAUUAGGUCUAAAACAUCCGUAGCUUGCUUUUUAAGUUUCUUGUGAAAUUCUGUGUCUCAAGCACAGAGCGUGCAAGAAAUACUGAAAAGCUAGAGACUGGAAGACGUAAGAAGUACGUUUGAAGUAGCGGUAAAAUGUGUUAAUCUCAAGCGGACUCACAACAGCGAAGGCAUCUUACGAGGACAGUUCUGACAGUAAGGGAUGAAGGCCAAGGGCGCAAAAGGGAUUAGAUACCCCUGUAGUCUUGGCAGUAAACACUGUACACUAAACAUUAGUACCUCCUCGAGAGGUAUUGGUGCUGAAGCGAAGGCGAAAAGUGUACUACCUGGGAAGUAUAGUCGCAAGACCGAAACUUAAAGGAAUUGGCGGGGGAGCAC
rnacentral:rRNA from 1 species